ACAACAACGAUGACGGAGAAAAGUAGCUUGCUGUUCGCCAUCCAGGGAGAAAACGCCAUAGACUGGGAGCGUUUUUAUGGCCGGCGCAAGUGAAGUUCACCUCCUGAGUUGACACCGGGACCAUCCCGACGUGGGAUGUAAAGGUGUUCCGGCUUUCGGCCGUUAUCGCAAUGAAGUGAACAGCGCAUUUCGGCUGUUAACAAGGGUGGUACCGCGAGCAACAACUCGUCCCUUAC
rfam:Geobacillus sp. CAMR12739 Contig48, whole genome shotgun sequence.